rnacentral:tRNA from 1 species
GCGGCUAAGGUGUUACGGUAGCACUACUGCCUUCCAAGCAGUAAGCAUGGGUUCGACUCCCAUUAGCCGCU